GCUUGGUUUCUUCGGGGUCUCGGAGCGUAGGCCAUCGCACGGUCCUUGCUUCCCGCUGGGCAGCCCCCUCCCUGGGAGCGCCCAGGACCCAGCGCAGUCCUAAGCCUUGUCAUCUCCACACCCAGCCCAGCUCCACUGCCCUUGGCCUCUCGCCUCUCCCCCACCCUGGCACCGGCUGCUCCCCGGGGGGGAAGCUCCUGCCACCCCCUCCGCGGCCAAGGCCGCCCAGGACGUGCUGACAGCUCGGCCGGCCUGCACUGCAUCCGCGUGUCCUGCCGGGGCUCCAAGACGUCUGGGCCACCUGGACUCAGAGCCAGGCUGCAGCGCGGAGGCUCCGGGAGGGGAGGCCCCCCGAGGUGCCAGCUGAGCCACGCUGCCAAGAGCUAAGUGCCGGAGGCUCCCUCUGUCCCAAGUCUGGGAUUCAUGAUCUGUCAGGGCCCCUGGGUCCUGGGCUGGAGGCGUCAGGGAGAGAGAGAGAGCGAGAGAGCGAGCGAGCACUGGGGGAAGGGAAGGUGCUUAGCCAAAGGGGCAGGGUGGGGACGGCUGGGGAAGAGGGGGCUUUUCUGGGGACCCCAGGGAGUGGGCUUGGCCCGUAGCCCCGUGCUGACCCCAGCCCCCCCACCGUCUCCCGCAGCCUCUCGGUGUUUCCUCAUCCUCUCCUGCCUCCAGCGUCUUGACCCUGACCAUCAUCACGCGGCCUUGAGCACUGCCUGCCAGUGCCCGCCCUUGUCUCCAGCCACCUCCCAAAUGAGACCGACGGGAGUCCCCCAGGAACGCCACAGGCCACCCCACGGCCAGCACCCCACAGGACCAGGGCACAGGCAGUGCCAGGAGAGGGCUGUGACUCGGUGUGCGCAGGGUCCCGCAUCAGCCAGAGGUUGCCAGCAGAGGUUCGCCAGGGUGAGAAGCUUCCCCAGGCCGCCACACCGAUUUCCUGCCUGCAGAGAACUGGCCUCGGAUGACCUGGGGAAAACGAUGGAGGAGCCGGGAGCAGAAUUCAGCUCUGCGGCGCCCGUCGCUGUCUCAGCCCCAGCUCGCGAGUUCAAGGUGCUAAGGAAGUGGAAGCUUGAACAGGGUGGCCUCUGGGAGCGAGGCCUCCUGGUGGGGGGUCCCUGGGCUUUGGGGGAGCACCCUGUUCUGGCUCUGCUUCCCAGCUCCCACUACCGCCAUCAGGUGCCGGGGGGCCCCGCUCCCAUCUGCAGCAGUGAAUCUCCCAACCCUGGAGCCGACACGCUUCCCCCGCCACUCACCACACUGACGCAAAGCCGACCCUCACCCAUCCCGCUUCUGCGCACCCCACGCUGACUCAGCAGGCCUGGGGGUCUAGGACUCUGCAUUGUAACACACCGCCUCUCCCCCCUCCCAUCAUAACAGAACAACCCUGUUCCUCACAAGAGCCCGGAACCCCAGUGGCUGCCUGCGGGGGGGCCCAGGAGGCAGCGUUUUUUUGUUGGGCUUCUCUGGGAGACCUGGCAGCAGCUUGGAAGCGCCUGCUGGGGUUGGACCCCCAUGGCUGUCACCCAGUGGCUCCGAAGACCCCCUGGGCUUGGCCUCCCUGACAGAGACAGGUAAGGCAGGAACCUGGCUCAGAGGAGGUGACUCCCCAGGACGUCCCCAUCGCCCAAGACCCCAUCAGAGGUUUCCAUGGAAACACACCCUCCAUGCAUGCAUUGCCCAGGACCCUCUUCCUCAGAAGCCCCGGGGCCACCCCUGGGCUCCCUGCUUCCUGGGCCCCUCCCACCCCAUCCUGCCCCCCUUCCAAGAAUGCCCUCCCCUGGGUAAUUGGACCCUCGGGCCAUUGACAUUUAAAGAAAUGUUCUUGACCUUUUGAGCAGUUCCAUAAAAUCACAAAAGAGUCUCUAAAUAUUACCACAGCCUCCUCCCUGCCCGGGCCCUGGCAGAGACGGAUUUUCCUGGCUGCCUCAAGACAGAGAGAAAAAGAGCAAAAUUGUUGGGAAGAAGGAGACGCUUUGCUCACACAGCUUCGUUUGGGCAGUGGAUCCACGGGGACCCCUGUUACCUGCACCACUGCCCUCCCAUCACCCCACAGCCACCUGCUGUUUCGCAGGCACCUGCAUCAUUGCAUUUAUGUAAAACGUGCAGGAGGUGUGCACUGGGGUCCCCCGGGGCAGGACAGACCUGCUGUGUUUUACAGACCUGAGGGGGCUUCGUGAAGUCCUCUGCCCCCUUCUCCUCCCCUACUGGAGGAACCAGCUGAAACCACGGAGAGCGAAGCCGCCCCAGCUAGGAGAGAUCUUGGGGAGGAAGGGAAUGGAGGUCUUCAGAGAUAUUUUGAGAAAAAUCC
rnacentral:lncRNA from 1 species